rnacentral:rRNA from 1 species
ACGUAGGAGGCGAGCGUUAUCCGGAAUUACUGGGCGUAAAGGGCGUGUAGGCGGCACGGUAAGUCAACCGUGAAAGCCCCCGGCUCAACCGGGGAAUUGCAGGGGAAACCGCCGCUCUUGAGGCAGGUAGAGGUGACCGGAACGUGUGGUGGAGCGGUGAAAUGCAUAGAUAUCAGAAGGAACAUCGGCGGCGAAAGCGACUCUCUGGCCCGUAACUGACGCUGAGGUGCGAAAGCUAGGGGAGCAAACGG